AUAAACAACUGUUUAAUAAUAAAUAAUUUUUCUUAUUAAGGAAGAGAGCAAAGAGCAAGCAACACUGGCUGAGGAAAGCAAUGUGCAUACAUCACAACAUUUCUUAAAAGAAUAAACCAAUAACAAUGUGCAGAACCCUCAACGCUUAACCAGUCCCAGAACAAGGACUUGGAUCUUACAACUCCAUGGUAAAAAGCAAGAAAACCAGAAGGAAUAACAGGGCAUUAAAUCCUCCAUGAGAACCUCCAAUUUAAGAGUGACUGAAGCUAGUGGCAAUAGGAAUGACAAUCACAAGAAUAAUCAACAACAAAAGUAUAACACCAAUGCACAUCCACUUCCUGCUGCUUCUCUGAUAGUCUUUAGCACUCUUAAGCUCUUUGGCACCAUCCUUCACAUAGUGGUUAGCAUUCAACACAUGGUGCUCAAUAUCAUCCAACUGCUCCCCUUGCGCCUCCACCAUUACUGCCAUGUCCAAGAACACCUGGUGCAGCUCCAACAAGCUCUUCUCAAUCUCUUUCGCUGAAUCAUGCCUAUCCUGUAUCUCCACUACUGUCUCCAAUACCUUCCCUUUCCCAUGCUCCUGUAUUGCACGUUUCAAAAACUCCUCACCUCCAUUGUCAUCAGAUAUAAUAUUUUCAAUGAUCUCCUCAUCUGGGUACUCCCCAGUCACUGUAAAAUAUCUCCUCUCAACAAUUUCUUUGUACUCGGUCAUCAUUUUCUGCCUUAACCCUUGAAAAUCCAUCAUAAGCUCCUUCAACUUCUUGCGCAAACCAUUGGUGACUGCAAGUCUAGUUCUAUAAAUUGGGGUUCCUUCUUUAUACCCAGAGAGGCGCCUGUUAGCUGCAUUGGCACGGUCCAUUUCUUCGAGCUGAGAUCUGAUGGCUCUAGCCUUUUUGAGGACAGUAACAAUGUCUGUAUUGAUCUUGUUGCGCAGCGAUUUUAAGGCCUCAGGUUUGUGUAAGGAUUUGCUUUCUUCGUUGGAUUCUUGGAGACGGACUAGAAUUUCACGGAUUGAUCCCAUUUCUUUCUUGACAUUCUCAGCUUCUUCAAGGAAUAGGCCAAGGUUACGAUCCAUGGUGUUUGAUGCGUUUGCCAUCUCUAUAUCAGGACCAGCUUCCAGGUCUUUCAUGGCCUCUUUCUUCAGGUCCACAUAGCUGAUGAAGGAUUUGGUCAUUAGAUCGUUCAUCUUUACUUAUCAGACCUUUUUCAACUAGUGAAUAACAGCAGCAGUUGCUUAGAUAUGGAAAUGGAAAGUGGGUUUAUGAACAGAGAUUUGAAGAUGGAAAACAAGGAGAUGAUCUUGGAUUUUGAUUUUCUGAUAUGGAAACACAAGCUCAGCUUGUGAACUAGAAUUUUU
rnacentral:misc_RNA from 1 species